CACGGCCGACUCUUUGGUGACAUCAUGCACAGAAAUAUUGGCUGGAGGACCAGGAGAAUCUAAAACUUUGACAACCAAGGUUCAGACUGCACGGGCUCUCCUUUGCCAUACUGGUUUACAGCGGAGACCCGGAAGAGGUACUCGUUUCCUUGGAUAAGUUUGGUUGCCACGUGCCUGCAAGACUGAAUAUCUUCAGCCACCACUGUCCACAAGAGUCGGCUGGUUUCCCGCUUUUCAAGAACGUAGGACUUAAUUGGAUAUAGUUGGUGAUUUCAGAACCUCCGUCGUCCUUUGGAGGACCCCACUUUAAGGAUUUAUCUGGAAGUCAGUGAGCAAGGCUCAAGAGUGCACUUUUGCUGACAAUAAAGGGGAAAUGAAGAUGCACGGCCAAAGGCUCACCAACAUCAUCCUUUGCCACGGCAGUGAUUUCGCUGGGGGUCCCUUCUCCAUUUUCAUUCUCAGCACUCACUCUGAAGUCAAGAAAUCGACUACAUAUCCGGUAAUUCGACUUCCACCGUCGCUGCGAGGCUUUUUCCAGCCAAUGGUACAAGAUGACUUAGUUACAGACAACACUUUCAGGUCCACAACUGGUCCAGGUGUUUCUAAAGCAGAGGAGAAGUGGUAAGUCGAAGCCACGGAGAACCAAGGUAAGAUGUCACUCAAAAUGAGAGGGCAGUGUCGCAUUUGCUCACCGGAAGCUUUGACGGCAUCGCGUGUUUCACCAGGAUCACCAAUGCCGUACUCGUUUUCAGCAAACACCCUGAAGAAGUAGGAUUUCCCCUCCUCCAAGUUGGACACUCUGAAGCUUGUUUUUGGGCACUCAGUUGACACGGUAGACCAGGACUUCCUCUCGGCGUCACGUUUUUCUACCACGUAGUUUAUGAUGGGGCUUCCACCAUCAAUAAUGGGAGGAUCCCAAGUAAUAUAAGCAGAAUCUUUGGAUAUUUCUUUAACGGUCACAUUGACAGGUGGCCCGGGAGUAUCUGAUAAAUGGUAAAUGAAUGAAUAUGUAAAAAAUGUAUAAAACUAAAAUUUUAACAUAUGUGAUUUUUUUCAAACAGACUUACCCAGCACUUUCACUACAAUGGUAUAUUCCUUUUUACCACAGCUGUUCUCCAGAGUUAAGAUAUAUUUUCCUGCAUCAUAUUUGUUCACAUUUUCACAGCGCAGGAAAGUGUCAAAGUCAGUCGACUUUAUGUCCAGUCCAGCCCUUUCCCUUAGAUUGACGUUUGGUUUAGACCAAGUUAUCUUCGGAGGUGGGCGUCCUCUUACUGGCACAUAGAGUCGCAUUGUGACACCGGCGCGCAGUAUGAGUGUUUUCCUCAAUUCGGCGUCAAGUUCUCCCUCCGGGGGAACUGUUUCAGAGUGAAGAAAGUUAAAACGAUAAUUUAAUGGUCAAAUGUAUUUCCAAGGAUUGGACUUAAUCACUCCUAAAAUAUACUUCUUUCUAGGACUGGUUUCUUGUUCUCUAAAAAAUCCUUAAUAUAAUCCUCAAAACUUUCGUCAACUAUUUUAAUAGUCUGUAGCAAUUGUUGAUCCUGUCAUUUUCCAAUAUCCUGCUGGCUAAACCAAGUUCUCCCUGGAGGAGCCGGACCUUCUCUCCUCAUGUACCUUGCAUGCUCUCAAACUCUUAUACAUUAAAAGUAGCUGAGUGGUUCUUGGCUCUCGUCCAUACUGGUUUUUCUUUUCUAUACUCAGUGAAGGCCCUCUGUUCUAUACUCUGACUCUCUUUCUUUCUUCCAUUGUAAGAAUACAAGCACAUAGGGGAUGAGGUAUAACUGAUUCAAAAUAAAGGCAGAAAUGGUUAUGGACAACAAGUGAAUACAAAGAAAUUAAGAUGGACAGCCUACUAAUCCAUAUAUUUGGAAAGGGUAGAUUAGAAGAGAAAAUUAAAAAACUGUAAGAACAAUAAAUAGCUCACUACUUAAAAAAUCUGUUAUUCUCAGGAUAAAAUUCCUAUAUCCCACAUUCUUUUGAAGACACGAAGUCCUCAUGUAAGUGUGAAAAGCUUUUCAAAACCACUAAUCACCUUGCAUUCCACUUGGCCUAUUAUACAACAGCAUCAAUGACCAACCCAGCUCUCUCAAAGUGUUCUCCUAGAGUGACCACCUCCAAAGCCUGUAAAUAAACACAUGUUCGGAAGGGAGUUCUACUCGCCUUCGAUGUAUUUCUCCUGGUAACACUUACUUAGGAUGUCCUUGGGACAGUGGUUGUCUGGCACGUCACUGGGGUCACUGUAUCCGACCUUGUUAACAGCAUACACGCGGAACUGAUACUCUGUGUUUUCCAUCAGGCCGGUCACCUCAAAGCGAGUUUUCUGUAGCUUGUCUGGUAAAUUGCACCUCACCCAGUUGUCAGAGUCGGCCCGUUUUACUUCGACAAGGUAACCAAUGAUAGGGCUACCACCGUCGUAGGCUGGCUUGCCCCAAGACAGACUCACAGAGCUACGGGUCGUAUCAUAUACUUUAGGGAAAGCUGGUGGGCCAGGAGGAUCUGAGGAUAAAUAGUGAUAACAAUUUUUCAUUACAACCUCACAUCUGGUUGUUCAAAGUUGACUUGAACACAGCCUAAGAGACUUUUUCAUGAGAACUUACACUGAGGGUCCCGAGCAUAGACAGCUUUGGAUGCCUCGCUGGGUUUGCCUGGGCCAGCCUUAUUUAUAGCUGUAACUCGGAACUCGUAUUCAGUGCCUUCUUGGAGGCCUGUUGCUUUUAUAGUUCUUUCUAUAACAGGUUUUCUGUUGACUUUCGUCCAGU